GUCACUUCGUUCAGCGAUUUCUCUUUAGCAAGGAUCGGCUCCAGUCACGUCUCACGGAGAAACGAAGUAAAAGAAAGAUAGAAGUCCUCAGGCCAAUGCUGAAUAAACAGAGAGUGACUGAUUGAUGACUGUGGAAAUUAGGCCAAGUGAUUGCACCGGUGAUUUAGAAGUUUACUCAGGUAUUUGGAGCAAGAUCACAGGCCAUCUCCACCGGGUACUAAAAUCCAGCCCGCCGCCAACCAGUGGAAGGUGAACAAGGCUGACAGUCAAAUUGCUCCGAAGUCGUUCCUGGUUCCGGUUUUCAGACACGGGAAGCUCUCCUCUGGGUUUGCUAUGAGUUCAUGUGCUCAGAUGACUGGGCUGAUCUGUGAAACAUGUUUUCUCUUUUGUUUGUUUUCUGAUUGUCAAGCCUGCACUCUGCUUAGGGUCAUUCUUGGGUCUGCCCAGUACUGAAUGGAAGGGGGGCAAUUGAGCCAGGUGCUGCAAGGGGAGCUGGAUGUGUUCCGGUGAUGUCACUGGGGCCUUCCAAGCCAAUGCCAUGAGCCUCUCAUCGAAGGCCUUUCCACUCAAAACAGGAGACCACCAAAAAAAGUAAAGACCUUUUUAAUUUAAAAAUACAGGUAUUGUUAAUUCAGCUGUUUACAUUCAGUAAAAAUAAAUUCUAACUUUGGACUC